ACACACACACACACACACACCACCCCCUGCUCCUUUUAGAAGGAGCCUUGUCUCCACGGUGACUGAGGACAAAAAGGAGGCCCUGGCACAGCUGGUCUUUAGCAACAGAGAGAGAGAAAGAGAGAGAGAGAGAGAGAGAGAGAGAGAAUGGGCUGCUCAGAUGUACAGACAGGACAGAGGGUGAGGGGGAGUGGGAGACAGGGAAAACAGCAGUGAACAAGUCGAUUUUGUGAAGUGGUUGGAGGAGGGAGAGGCUGGGAGGAGAGAGAGAGAGAGAGGGACGGAGGGUGAAAGAGGAGGAGGAGAUUGAGGAGGUACACAAACUCCCUGAGAACAGGAGUGAGAAGUCAAAGUGGGAGAAAGUGAACACAGCACAGCACAGGAGGAACAGUUGCAAACGGCUGCUGCUGAUCUGCUCAAAGAGUCAAGUUACCUCCAAACAUCCAGCAUUGGUCAGGCUAAUUAGAUGAAGAGGCUGAGAGCAGCAGGCACCGCAAACAAACUUGAGAAAAACGAAUGAGAGGAGUGAGGGAGCGAGGGGGGAAGGGUGGAAACAAGAAGAAGGAGUAAUGGUCUGUGAAACAUCGUACAGCUGAGUGUGUUUCUGCUUUCGCACAAGAGUUAACAAGUGACUGAAGUUCCUCACACUCACUCACAAGGAGUGCAGGGACAAAAACAAGCAGGGAGGUAGCAGCAGAGGUCAGACAUUCUGCUGGCAGGUGGUUGAGAUCAGCUGGAGAGGCUUCAACAGGACAAAACAGCAACGUGAAAUGUGCAGCAGUGUCAGCUCUAUAUUGGAUCUCCUUG